rnacentral:rRNA from 1 species
CCUACGGGUGGCAGCAGUGGGGGAUAUUGCACAAUGGGGGGAACCCUGAUGCAGCGACGCCGCGUGGGUGAAGAAGGGCCUCGGCGCGUAAAGCCCUGUCAGCAGGGAAGAAAAUGACGGUCCCUGAAGAAGAAGCCCCGGCUAACUACGUGCCAGCAGCCGCGGUAAUACGUAGGGGGCAAGCGUUAUCCGGAUGUACUGGGGGGAAAGGGGGCGGAGACGGCGGUGCAAGCCAGGAGUGAACGCCCGGGGCCCAACCCCGGGCAGGCUUUUGGAACUGCGUGGCUGGAGGGCAGGAGGGGCAGGCGGAAUUCCUGGUGUAGCGGUGAAAUGCGUAGAUAUCAGGAAGAACACCAGUGGCGAAGGCGGCCGGCUGGACUGCAACUGACGUUGAGGCACGAAAGCGUGGGGAGCAAACAGGAUUAGAUACCCUUGUAGUC